rnacentral:lncRNA from 1 species
AUGUAUUUUGACGUCAGGCACACGAAUUCGUUGACUAAAUUGAGCUACAAAUUUUUUCUAUCGAGAUAUCUCAAUUUUUCUGCUUCAAGAAGCGGAAUUCAGAUUCCUGAGAUCAAAGGGCCAGGCAUUGACUUUGCUGUUUACCUGUGACCUUCGGUGCCCUGUAGCAUCCUGUAGUGCCUGAACGUGACGCCUUCGACCAUGAGUUGUUUUUCUCAUAAAUUACGUCGUUUGGUUUACCCUGUCACCCCUUGCAAGGCCGGCUCUGAACUAAGAAUCACUCUGUAUAGGAUGAAUUCUAAAUCUACAAUGAAUCUGGCUCAAGAUCCAGAACGGGACGAUUUUUAAAUUUCUUGAGGGCCGAAUUCCAAAUACAAUUCACGUAGCAUAGUACAAGUACGGUACAAGUUGAAAUAAUAUCUCAAUGAGCGCAGAUGCUAAUUUUUGAGAAGAGAAGAACGAUUCGAUUGGAUAAUUGUAAGUCGACUUGAAUUAAGAGCUGAAUGGAUUUGAAAUUACAACGUUGUUCCCAGGAAUUGUAUUAAUAGGUUGUAUUAAUGUAAUCACUAAAGAUAAAUAA